GACGAACGCUGGCGGCGUGCUUAACACAUGCAAGUCGAACGAACAGGCCCUGCUUUUGUGGUUUUCUUGAUUGGCGAACGCGUGAGUAACACGUGAGUAAACUGCCCUUGACUUUGGGAUAACUUCAGGAAACUGCGGAUCAUACCCGAUAGGAUCUCCUGAUGCAUGGUGGGGAAUGGAAAGUUUCGGCGGUUGGGGAUGGACUCGCGGCUUAUCCGCUUGUUGGUGUGGUAGUGGCUUACCAAGGCUUUGACGGGUAGCCGGCCUGGGAGGUGGACCGGCGACAUGGGGACUGAGAUAGGGACCAGUCGGGAACGGGAGGCAGCGGGCGGGAGUAUGACGCAGCAGGGGGAAGCGUGAGGCAGCGACGCCGGGUGCGGGAUGACGGCCUUCGGGGGAUAAACCGCUUUCGCCUGUGACGAGGCGUGAGUGACGGUAAUGGGUAAAGAAGCACCGGCUAACUACGUG
rnacentral:rRNA from 1 species